rnacentral:misc_RNA from 1 species
GUUUUCUAGUUUGCAUAUUUG